GACUCACGCGGGAAUCUUACCGGGUCCGGACACACUGAGGAUUGACAGGUUCCGAGAGAUUUUUGCAUUUGCAAAUUCUCUCUUAAAUAUGCUAGUCCUUUCAUGAUUAUGUGAUAGGUGGUGCAUGGCCGUUCUUAGUUCGUGGAGUGAUCUGUCUGCUUAAUUGCGUUUCACUAAAGGCGUCAUAUCAUUUUUGUGCUUGUGUUUGACCCCUCUUUUCGGAGAGCGCGUGUCUUCACACACAAUUACCUUGGCGUCUGAAAGCAACGAACGUGACCGUAACCUCUUGUUGCCUUCUUUUCUUUAUUGAAUGCUGUUUCAUUUGUUUUACGAAUGCUCAGUAUAUGGAGGCUUUUUUUACCAACAACUAGAGGGACCGCUGUUACUUUCUUUAAACCAGAGGAAGGUUGCGGCAAUAACA
rnacentral:rRNA from 1 species